GAUGAACGCUGGCGGCGUGCCUAAUACAUGCAAGUCGAGCGAACGGACGAGAAGCUUGCUUCUCUGAUGUUAGCGGCGGACGGGUGAGUAACACGUGGAUAACCUACCUAUAAGACUGGGAUAACUUCGGGAAACCGGAGCUAAUACCGGAUAAUAUUUUGAACCGCAUGGUUCAAAAGUGAAAGACGGUCUUGCUGUCACUUAUAGAUGGAUCCGCGCUGCAUUAGCUAGUUGGUAAGGUAACGGCUUACCAAGGCAACGAUGCAUAGCCGACCUGAGAGGGUGAUCGGCCACACUGGAACUGAGACUCGGUCCAGACUCCUACGGGAGGCAGCAGUAGGGAAUCUUCCGCAAUGGGCGAAAGCCUGACGGAGCAACGCCGCGUGAGUGAUGAAGGUCUUCGGAUCGUAAAACUCUGUUAUCAGGGAAGAACAUAUGUGUAAGUAACUGUGCACAUCUUGACGGUACCUAAUCAGAAAGCCACGGCUAACUACGUG
rnacentral:rRNA from 1 species